UCCGAAGACCGGGAAGGGGAAUAGACUGGGAAGGAACAUAGUGGCUAUCUGGUUCUCUGGAAGUAGCUGUGUCUUGCCUCUUCAGUGUCGUACUUGACUCCAUACUCACACUCACCUCACACAGCCACCGCCCUAAUACAGAUUUGACAUACCUGCCAUGAAUAUUCUUCUAGGAGGCUGAGGAAGCUAUUUUAACCUCAAGUAUCUAGAGGAAGAAAAUGCCUGACCCAACAUGAGAAAAAGACCUGUGAUUUCAUCAUUGAAAGGAACUACCAGCCAGGAGCUUCCUCCAUCAAAUAACAUCAACCCCCUCUCCGCACCUUAUAGUCUUAGAGAGCUGAUUGAAGUAGAAAAUUAAUUGAGGUUAAAUGAGUUGCCCAAGGUCACACAGCCAGGAUGAGGCAGGAAUUGGAUGCCAGUCUUCUGAGGCUGGUUAUCUACCCACUACGACAUGCUGUGCCCUGAUCUUUACCCAGGAAGAACCCCUGGUCCCCUCCAGCUGCCUCUUAAUAAAGUUAAUAGUGAUAAA